ACAUGCAUAGAAAUUUUGUUUCUCAUGCGAAGUGCUGCGAUAAGCAUCCUCCUACUUUAAGGUAGAAGGAGGUACUUAUCAAUGGGGUCUUAGGUGUGGAUUUAAAUCAGAUAAGGCUUUCUUACCAUAUGGCAAAAUUUGGAAAACAUCUAAUUUAUGAUGGGAUGCCAAAUGCAUCUCUCCAGUGGCAUGCACGUGGGAAAGACUGCAAACUGACGUUUCAUUCCAAAGAGACCUUAUCUUAUAAGUCUCUUAAUUUUCAGAUUCACUCUUUUGUGGGCCG
rnacentral:lncRNA from 1 species